rnacentral:rRNA from 1 species
AGGCUACUAUGAACGGUUUGACAAGAAUGAAGCUGUCUCUAGACAAGUUUUAUAGAAUUUGGUUUUUAGGUGAAGAAACCUAAAUAAAAUUGAAAGACAAGAAGACCCUAUCGAGCUUUAAAAAAAUUUUUUGACACCAUAGAAAACUAGUUUCAUUAAAAAAUUUUGGUUGGGGCGACUAAGGAACACAAAAAGCUUCCUAUAAAAUAUAAAAACUUUUAAGUCUUGAUCCAAAAGUUUUGAUUAACAGAAUUAGUUACCGUAGGGAUAACAGCAUAAUCUUUCUUAAGAGUUCUUAUCGAAAGAAAGGUUUGUGACCUCGAUGUUGGACUAGGGUACCCAGAAAGGUGUAGAAGCCUUCAAUGGUUGGUCUGUUCGACCACUAAUACCCU